CUACGUGCCAGCAGCCGCGGUAAUACGGAAGGUCCAGGCGUUAUCCGGAUUUAUUGGAUUUAAAGGGAGUGUAGGCGGUUUGUUAAGCGUGUUGUGAAAUUUAGGUGCUCAACAUUUAACUUGCAGCGCGAACUGUCAGACUUGAGUACACGCAACGUAUGCGGAAUUCAUGGUGUAGCGGUGAAAUGCUUAGAUAUCAUGAAGAACUCCGAUUGCGAAGGCAGCAUACGGGAGUGUAACUGACGCUUAAGCUCGAAGGUGCGGGUAUCGAACAGGAUUAGAUACCCUGGUAGUCCGCACAGUAAACGAUGGAUGCCCGCUGUUAGCGCCUGGCGUUAGCGGCUAAGCGAAAGCAUUAAGCAUCCCACCUGGGGAGUACGCCGGCAACGGUGAAACUCAAAGGAAUUGACGGGGGCCCGCAACAAGCGGAGGAACAUGUGGUUUAAUUCGAUGAUACGCGAGGAACCUUACCCGGGCUUGAAUUGCAGAGGAAUUAUUUAGAGAUA
rnacentral:rRNA from 1 species